UUGUGCUGGAUAGAGCACAACCGAGAGAGAGAGAGAGAAGGGGAGGACAGCAGAGAGAGAGAGAGAGCUUGCUUCUUUGUGCUGGUGCGUUUUGAAGGAGAUUCAAGAAAGGAAAAUGGAAGAUCAUCAAGAGGCUAUCAAAUUAAAGAUUAAAGGUGGACGUCCGAGGCCUUUUAUCGACUUAACCCACUGUGAACAAACUAAGCAACAAGGAUAGAGAAAGUCUCGGAGUCUACCCGUGUCAGCCUUUAGAAGAGCUUCCGGAAUGGAGCAAGUUAGGCUUGAGUAGAGCCAAAAAAAUCAGCCCUUAGCUUUGUUAGAGCUUUGAAUUUUGCUAAGUCUUAAAUGCAUAUGUGUGUGAAAUAUAUAAGAUUUGUAUGCAAAUUAUUAUUGUGUUUAAAUGUUUUAAUUAUUUUAGUCAUCAUGUAUGCACAAGCUCAAUGGACAUUGUUAUU